rnacentral:rRNA from 1 species
GGGGGCAACCCUGGUGGCGAGUGGCGAACGGGUGAGUAAUACAUCGGAACGUGCCCAGUCGUGGGGGAUAACGUAGCGAAAGCUACGCUAAUACCGCAUACGAUCUACGGAUGAAAGCGGGGGAUCGCAAGACCUCGCGCGAUUGGAGCGGCCGAUGGCAGAUUAGGUAGUUGGUGGGGUAAAGGCUCACCAAGCCUGCGAUCUGUAGCUGGUCUGAGAGGACGACCAGCCACACUGGGACUGAGACACGGCCCAGACUCCUACGGGAGGCAGCAGUGGGGAAUUUUGGACAAUGGGCGCAAGCCUGAUCCAGCCAUUCCGCGUGCAGGAUGAAGGCCUUCGGGUUGUAAACUGCUUUUGUACGGAACGAAAAAGCUCUUUCUAAUACAGAGAGUCCAUGACGGUACCGUAAGAAUAAGCACCGGCUAACUACGUGCCAGCAGCCGCGGUAAUACGUAG